UGCAGUAAGGCGAGAGAGAGUGUGUCUAUGCGUGUGUGUGUGUCUGUCUGUGCGAGACUGUGUCUGUGUGUUCAGCUUGAGUCUAUUGAGCCAAUUGGAUGGGACUGGGGUUUACAAAGACAAGGGGCACAUAGGAGCUUCCUCAGUAUCACAGGCUUUCACUUUCUUCUAGUGUUUCGGAUGGUGUCUGGGCUGAUGCUGCUGCAGGGCUUGGUGAAGAUGCUGGACUAAUCUGAGAACUCACAGUUGAAGACAUGUUCAUUAGACUGGGACGCCUGACCCCUGGAUACUUCCGUCUCCUCCAGAGACAGGUCUCAGGUGAAGUCCAGAUACAGCCGCAGAAAGGAUUCAUCAACCAGAUCGCCAUGACGAUGGCCAUGGUGGGCAUGAGUGUGUCCUUCUACAGCGCCCGGCGGAUGGCGGAGAAGUUCCAUCUGAAAGAGAAUGCUCCCUGAACAGUUGGACAGUGUGGCCCCUCAACUGGACCAGAGAGAUGGGGGGAGAGAGAAGAAGAGAAUCAGAGUAGGCUGCAGUGCUGCACUCCAUCACCUUGCAUUGCAGCGUUUGGCACCUUCACUAGAAUGCAGGCCUACUCAAAGCUGCCAUGGUGGUUCUGUGGGCUGAGUGUUUGUUGAUGUUGUUUGAGAGAAUGUCUGUGUUUGAUGGAAGAGGAUGGUUAUCAGGAGCGUUUUGUCUUGAGAGUGAGACCAUGCAGUCUUUAAUAAACAACUGCUGGGUUUGACAUACGUUUAUCUUUGUAUUAUGAUAAUGGGAAAAUGUAAGUGUACUGUGGGGAAAUGGAAAUGUGAAUUACCAGUACUAAUGCCCAAUAGAUUAAAAUGACCAAACAACAUUUUUACCUAAAGACAUUUUUUGGAAGAUAUGAGGUGAUCUACACAUAUCUGCUUAUUUGAAAGAUUUCAACAUGUAGGCCUAGCAUACUUACUUAGGCUCCAUACUAGAAUGUCUUUGAACAUAGCAUGAAUGAAUCGGUGGUCUCCUCAACGUAUGCCACUUCCAAACUGACUCUUAAUGACAUUUAUAUGUAUAUUUUAUUAACAAGUAUUUUUAAUAGUUUACAUUUUUAAAUAACAAAUAAAACUCACUAUUUACUC